AUUGGUUGAAUGGCUACAGUGUCGGGCUGUAAACCACUGAAAAUUGGGUUACCCUGGUUCAAACCCUGCUGGG
rnacentral:tRNA from 1 species